GAUGAACGCUGGCGGCGUGCCUAAUACAUGCAAGUCGAGCGAACGGACGAGACGCUUGCUUCUCUGAUGUUAGCGGCGGACGGGUGUGUAACACGUGUAUAACCUACCUAUCAGACUGGGAUAACUUCGGGACACCGGAGCUAAUCCCGUAUAAUCUUUUGCACCGCAUGGUUCAAAAGUGAAAGACGGUCUUUCUGUCACUUAUCGAUGCAUCCGCGCUGCAUUAGCUAGUUGGUAAGGUAACGGCUUGCCAAGGCAACGAUGCAUAGCCGACGUGAGAGGGUGAUCGCCGACCCUGGAACUGAGACACGGUCAAGGGGCCUAAGAGAGGCCGCAGUAGGGAAUCUGCCGCAAUGGGCGAAAGCAUGGCGGAGCGGCGGCGAGUGAGUGAUGGAGAUGUUCGGAGCGUAAAGAUCUGUUAUGAGGGAAAAACAGAUGUGUAAGGAACUGAGCACAGCGUGACGGUAACUAAUCAGAAAGCAACGGCUAACUACGUG
rnacentral:rRNA from 1 species